AUAUAUUAAAAUAUUGCAGUACAACCUUUAAGGCUGAAUACAAAAUACAUAACUUCUAUACUAUUUAGAUACACAAAAGUGUGUAUGCUUCUCCAAAAAAUAACAAAGCUCUGUUACAAAAGAAAAACACAUCUGAAGGCGAUUACUGGUGAGGAUUUGAAAGAAAAUGAAAAUAAACGGGCAUGAGCUAUACGGCUCAGUAAGUAAUUCUGCAUAAUUCUAUCGGAUCAACUAAAAGGCUAAACAUCUUUAAACAGGGUAUGAGAAGCUCACAUGUAUAUUAUGUAAUAAUUUCUAUCAUAAUCACAUAUUUAUACUGGAUAAUCAAGGCAGUAUUCUAAGUCAACUCAUAUGCUAAACAUGUUUAGUCAGGGUUUGAGAAGCUGACAUGCAUAAUAUCUAACAAUUUAUCAUGGCAAAAUAUGUAUGCUGGGUAAACAAAGUAUUACUUUAAGUCAAACAAUAAUUUUCGUAAAAUAUACAUAUGAAACCGUGCCCCCGGCAUGCCAUGGUUCAUUCUCUCGGAUGCUACUGCGAAGUCAUUCUCGGCCAUUGGCGGGGCCAGCUCAGUUAUUAGUCAGCCACUGGCGGGGCCGGCUCAGUCAUUCUCGGCCACUAGCAAGGCCAGCUCAGUUGCAUUCGAUCAGUAGCAUCUUUGAGCCUAUUUAUAGUGUCUCUUGGCUAAAUAGGAUUUUGCUAUACUAACUUGCAUGCAUGAUUUAAAAUGUCAGCAUAAUCAUGGUGCAUACAUGGUCAUAAUUUAUGAAAUCAUAACAUAUCAUCCAUGAAGUAUGUACUUGAAUAACACUUAGGAAAUAUAAAUAAACAUGAUAUGAUCCAUAACAGGAUUAGAACAAGUUACUUACAAUAGCUGGUUAACCGCUUCCUUAGGUCCAGAUGACGGAUCUCUGAUUCCUAAGACCACAUUACAAGAGUCAAUUCAUUCUACCAUGGACUUGUUUGGAUCUCAAUCAAGGAUCUUAGCCCAAUUUAAUUUGCCUAAUUCGAAGCCUUUGGAGUUCAAUUAAAGUAAUUUGGGUCUACAAGGUCUAAUUGGGCCUUUAAUAAAAGGGUUGGGUCUGAUUUAUGGUUAGGUCCAUCCUUUUCUAGCCAAUUUGACCUUCUGCCAAUUUAAUUAGGCUUGAUCUGAGCCUGAUUUAGGACUAAUUGGGCUUGCUGGAAUCAACAUAAUAUGAACAGGAUUCGGACCCAGCUCAAUUGAGCUUAAUUGGGUUCGGGUUUAGCCCAAUUGGCUUAAUUGGGUUCGCUCAGACCCAGUUAGGCUCAGACUCGAUGCUAUUUGGGCUUAAUCAGACUCACUUCAUUCAAUUGGGCUCGGUUCACCUCUUUAUUGGGUUUUCCCGAACCCAUUUCAAUUUAUUUGGGCCUAACGGGUUUCAGACCCGAACUUGGAUCCGACCCGUUAGGCAACCCGUUAAGGGUUCUUUCUGGGGUUUUCCGAGGCUUCGGCCUCUUUCGUCCGUGCCUCUCCCUCUCCCCCUUCCUCCGGUUCCCUUCCUCUUCUCCUUGCCGCCUUCCGGCUCCUCCCUAUCCUCUCGCAGGCGACCGGGGAGAUGAAGCUCCCCCGAUCCACCGGCCAGGGCGGUGCUCCCCCCUUGGGGCAACGGCGGCGGGAGACCGGCCCCUUUCCCCUUCUUCGAAGUGAUGCUGGAGAAGGGGAGGAGAGCCGGGAGGUGGGAUCGAGGCCGGAUCUCCUCCGGGGGUCCUCACCGGCUCCGACCAUAGCGAGGUAAGGCCGUGGUCCGAGGUAAGUAUCUAUCUUUUUUUUUGUUAUUCUUCCUCUUCCGUUUACCCUCUUCUCCCUUUUUCCCUUUUUUUUUGUUCUUCUUCCUCUUCCAUUUACCCUCUUCUCCCUUUUUCCUCUUUUUUUUAUAGAAACCGCGCCACCACCUCUUCGCCGGUGCAGAGGUGGGGCUCGGCUGAGGCUGGCGGCCUUGAGGCCGCGUCUGUCACCGGCUCGGCCAGACCCAGCGGCCCUUGGCUAGGGCAUCCGCAGCCGGAGGAGCGGCUGCAGUGCCCUGUCACCCGCAGGCCGAGUCCAGUUGGGCUCGGCCCGGGUGGACAUCGGGCCUGGGCUUGGGCCGUCCUCAGGCCAGCCUGCGGCCUGUGAGUCUGACCCGCAGCCCGUGGGUUCGGCCCGUGGCCCUUCUCCUGUCUCCCCCAGUGCCGGUCUUCCUUCCUGUGCCGGUCUCCUCCCCUCUGUUUCAUUGAUGAAACAGAGAGGAGAACACCCCACAGAGGGGUUUCUCCAUCCUUUUUCCCUACCUAAAACCCUGCUCACAGGGGCCCUUACCUUGAUUUGGUUGGCUGGAGUUGGGCAGUACCUCCUCCUCAGCAAGCUCCCUCCUUCCUCUCCUAGGGCUGUAAGGUCCCUUCCGCCUCCAGCUCCAAGGCUCAGCUCUCUGGUGCAGUAAAUCCAGAGGGUUAGAGGUUUAGGAGGGUAUAUCAAAAUCGAGGGUUAGCAAAUUUUAGGGGUUAUAAAUAUUUGGCUUAGGACUUGACCCCAAGGAGAGGUGGCAUCCUCUCCUUCCUCACUGCUCCAGGAACCACCAGAUGCCCCCCCCCUCUUCAGGCCAGCUCAAUGCUUAGCUACCGAGGGGGAGGAGGUGGCGGGCUCCCGUUUUGCAUGUCUGUGGGGGUCUCUCUGUUGGCCAGCUGGUGGUCCUAUCCUUUCAGCCCUCAGGUGGGAGAUGGCAGUCCUCCAUGGCUGCUCUUCUUGGGCCAGCGUAGCUCGCUAACCCCCCUGGCCCAAUACCCUUCAACUGGGCCCUACAGUAUUGGGCCCGGUCUGUAUUAGGCCCGGAUAUUACAUCCUUCCCCCCUUAAAUAAAUUUCGUCCUCGAAAUUAAACAUACCUCGGUUCUCGAAAAGCUGAGGGUAACACUGACACAUCUCUUCCUCCAGUUCCCAGGUAGCUUUCCUUUCAGUGUGAUUGGUCCACUGAACUUUAACGUAGGGAAUGGUGCGCCUUCGGAGGACUUGCUCUUUUUUGUCAAUGAUGCACAGGGGAGCCUCCUCAUAUGUUAAAUCUUUAUUCAAUUGCAGAGGUUCAUGUGGCACCACAUGGCUGGGAUCCGGAAUGUACCUCCGUAGCAGAGAGACAUGGAAGACGUUGUGUACACCUGAUAGCUCUGGAGGCAGGGCCAACUUGUAGGCAACCUUGCCUAUUCUGGCAAGAACCUCGAAUGGGCCGAUGUAGCGAGGGCUUAACUUGUCGUGUCCUCUGAAUCGGGUAAUACCCUUCGAUGGAGAAAUUUUUAGGAAGACAAAGUUCCCCCCAAAAAUUCCAAGGCCCUUCUUCCUCUGUCAGCCCAUCUUUUCUGUCUGUCCUGAGGCAGCCUGAAGCCUUUGCUUAAUCAGAAGUACUUUGUCUCUGGUGUACUGGACCAGUUCGGGCCCCAAUAAUCUCCACUCCCCGACAUCAUCCCAAUGUAGGGGGGAUCGGCAUUUUCUCCCAUAGAGAGCUUCAUAUGGAGCCAUCUGAAUGCUGGAAUGGUAACUAUUGUUAUAUGCAAACUCUACCAGAGGUAUAUGACUAUCCCAGUUUCUACCUAGAUCCACAGUACAUACCCUCAACAUGUCUUCCAGAGUUUGGAUUGUCCGCUCUGACUGGCCGUCAAUCUGAGGGUGAUAUGCUGUAUUGAGUCUCAAUUUGGUACCCAUAGCCUUCUGAAAGCUUUCCCAGAAUCUGAAUACAAAUCGGGGGUCGCGAUCAGAAAUAAUGCUCACUGGCACUCCGUGCAGGCAUACAAUCUCAUCAAUAUAUAAUUGGGCUAGCUUGUCCAAUGGGGUACCAAUCCUGAAAGGUAGGAAGUGAGCCGAUUUUGUGAGGCGGUCAACAAUCACCCACACUGCAUCAUUCUUCCUUACUAUUUUGGGGAGCCCUGUAACAAAGUCCAUAGUAAUAUGCUCCCAUUUCCAUUCUGAGAUUUCUAUUGGUUCUAGUAACCCUGCCGGCCUCUAGUGCUCUGCUUUUACUAGCUGAUAGGUCAGACAUCGAGCCACAAACUCAGCUAUCUCUCUCUUCAUCCCCUUCCACCAGUAAUGUACCCGAAGGUCCUUGUACAUCUUAGUACUGCCAGGGUGGAUAGAGAAACGGGAUUGGUGGGCCUCUUCCAGGAUCUCCUUUAGGUCAGCAUCAGCUGGAACAUACAACCGGUGGCCGAACCUCAGGGUGCCAUCUGGGUGGAUCUGAAGUUCGAGUCGCAACCCUUUCUUCACUUCGUCCUUGAGCUGGCAGGUGUGCACAUUAGACUGCUGAGCGACUUUUAUUCUGUCGAUCAAUGUUGGUUGCACACUCAAAAUGGCCAGUAUACUUCUUGCGGUUCGUGUAACCACCUCAACCUGCAGUUUGUUAAGAUCCCUCUGAAUCUGUGGUUGAGUGGUGAGUAAUGCGGCGGAGCCCACUACUGUCUUCCUACUUAGAGCAUCAGCCACCACGUUGGCCUUUCCUGGGUGGUACUUAAUGCUUAAGUCAUAAUCCUUCAAGAGCUCUAACCACCUCCUUUGCCUCAUAUUCAAUUCUUUCUAGGUGAAUAUAUAUUUUAGGCUCUUGUGGUCAGUGUACACUUCACAGUGCUCGCCAUAUAAAUAAUGUCUCCAAAGUUUCAAGGCGAAAACCACUGCGGCUAGCUCUAGGUCAUGGGUCGGGUAAUUCUAUUCAUAGGGUUUUAGCUGUCUUGAGGCAUAGGCUACUACCUUGCCGUCUUGCAUCAAUACAUAGCCUAGCCCGUUCUUGGAGGCAUCACUAUAGAUAGUAAAUUCUCCAGUUGAGGACGGCAAUGUUAAAAUUGGAGCAGAUACUAACCUUUGUUUAAGCUUCUGAAAACUUUUCUCACAAUUGUCGUCCUAGAUAAACUUGGCCCGCUUCUUAAUCAAAUGGGUCAAGGGAGUAGCUAUUUUGGAGAAUCCUUUUACAAAUCGUCGGUAAUACCCGGCUAAUCCCAAGAAGCUUCUAAUUUCUUUGACGUUGGUGGGACGAGGCCAAUCCACCAUCGCUUCUAUCUUCUUGGGGUCCACUGACACUUCUUCCUUGGAGACCACAUGACCAAGAAACGCCACACUGUCCAACCAGAACUCACAUUUGCUCAGCUUGGCGUAUAGUCUUUUUUCUCGAAGGGUCUGUAGUACCACUCUCAAAUGGUCUUCAUGCUCUUUUCUGCUCCUUGAGUAGAUUAGAAUGUCGUCGAUAAAAACUAUCACGAACUGAUCCAAAUGCUGCCAAAAGACUCUAUUCAUUAAGUCCAUAAAUGUAGCCGGAGCAUUGGUUAGUCUAAAAGGCAUAAUCAGAAAUUCAUAAUGCCCGUACCUGGUUCGAAAUGCAGUCUUUGGCACAUCAUCAGCUUUGAUCUUCAACUGAUGGUAACCGGACCGCAAAUCUAUCUUGGAGAAGACUUGGGCACCCUGCAGCUGAUCAAACAGGUCAUCGAUCUGGAGCAGGGAAUAUUUGUUCUUUAUUGUUAUCUUGUUCAAUUUCUGGUAAUCGAUGCAUAGCCGCAUACUCCCGUCUUUCUUUUUCACAAACAAGAUAGGAGCUCCCCAUGGCGACGCACUGGGCUAGAUAAACUUUUUGUCCAGAAGUUCUUGUAGUUGUAUCUUCAAUUCCCUUAACUCAGCAGGAGCCAUCUGAUAAGGAGCCUUGGAGACUGGCCCCUCUCUUGGUGCGAGAUCGAUAGUGAAUUCGAUCUCUCGGUGUGGGGGUAAUCCCGGUAAUUCAUCCGAAAACAUCCGGGUAUUCCCUGACUACUGGAAUGUUUUCCAGUUUGAUCUCUUCUUGGGUAUCCGUUACACAGGCCAGAUAGGCCGUACACCCUUUUCGCAGAGCCUUUCCGGCUUUCAAAGCGGAAAUGAAAUGCAGUGUAGGAUUACCUCACAGGGGUGUGUCUUCCUGAAAGAAGAAUUCUUGCUCUCCAGGUAUCCGAAAUACCACUCUUUUAUGGUAACAAUCAAUAUGGGCGUCGUACUGAGACAUCCAGUCCAUGCCUAAGAUAAUGUCGAAGUCUUGUACAUUAAGCUGCAGAAGAUUUGUCUCUAAUUCUCUUUCACCUAUCUGAAUUAUGCAGUCUUUAUAUUUAGUGUCAAUAAUUACGAUUUUCUGAAGGGGUGUAGCAACAUGCCAUGGUUCUUCUAAUUUCUCGGACAUGCAGUGUAAUUGUCUGAAAAAGCUAACUGAUACGAAAGAACGUGUAGAACCAGAGUCAAAUAGAGUGAAGGCAAGAGCCGAGUUGACUGGAAGUGUACCUGUCACCACUUGAUCACUAGCACUGGCAUCCUGACGAGUCAGUGCGAAAACCCGAGGGUUACCCCUUGAUCUCUGGUCCUCCGGUGCAGAACGUCUGGGCUCAUCCCUCUUCCGUCUCGGGCAGUCGCGUGCGAUGUGUCCUAUCUACCCGCAAAAAAAACAAGCCCUGAUCUUCUUCAAGCAGGUCCCGCCAUGGUUUUUGCCAUAGGUGGGGCAACUUCUGCUCUAUCUCUUCUUAGGCACAGGCUCCUUACUGCCUCCGGGCCCACUACUCUGCCCUCCCAAUGACCGGAUCCUCUUCAGGUCAUCCCUCUCUCUCCCGGACCGUAUCAGGUCAGUCUCAACCUUCAAGGCUCGGUCCAACACAUCUCUGUAGCUAGAGAAUAGGUGGGAGGAUAUCCAGGACCGAAUCCCGUACCUUAGUCCCUGCUCCAACCUGUUUACCUUACUUCUCUCCUCCUCCAUGAACUGGGGGCAAAAUCGUCCCAGCUUGUUGAAUCUGUUUGCAUACUCCAGAGCGGACAUCUGGUCGGACUGGGUCAGUGUCAAAAAUUCGUUCUGCUUCAUCUGGUUGACUGAAUUCAAAAAAUACUGGGUGUGCAACAAUCUCUUGAAGUCCCUCCAGGUGAGUCCAUCGAUGGCAUAAGCCAUCUCCAUGGCCGUCCACUAGUACUCGGCGUUUCCUUUCAGCAUAGAGAUCGCCAGUCGGACCAUCACCUCAUCGGGGAAAUGGAGAGCUCGAAACAUCUUCUCCAUCUCCCGGAUCCACGCUUCUGCCGCCAUGGGAUCGGAUUCACCCUCAAAGGUCGGUGGGUUCAGUCGGCAAAAUCUCUCGUAGUAGGAAUCUGCCGGUUGUAUAGCAGCCAUUUGCAUUUGCUGCUGUUGUUGUAGCAGCUGCGCCAUCAGCUGAUAUACCCCGGCAAGGUCUGCCUGACCCGCCACAGACCGUGGAGAAUCCUGGAGAAUCCUGGGGGACUGACUGCUCGCUAGGCUCCGGGGAGGGUGGUCUCAUAUCGUCGUCCAUGUCUUCUGAUGAUCGCCUAGCUGUCAAAAUUUAAAGUAAGAUUAUAAUAAACUAGUAUAUUAUGAUAAUCUCUAUGGGCUGCAAUAUUCUUAACUACCCAUUGCCCCAGAUAUUUUAUGGUUAUUUUCUUGUUUAUCCUAAGGCCCUGAUACCACAAGAUGUCACGUUCCGGAUCCAAAUCCGUGAUACGGCUGUGCCAUUGCCGACUAUCGCCCACAAUAGCACGCAGCCUCAUACAAGGGUAACAGGUAGCCAAUAGAAUUCAAACUUUCAUAUAUUAAUAUUGCAGUACAACCUUUAAGGCUGAAUACAAAAUACAAAACUUCUAUACUAUUUAGAUAUACAAAAGUGUGUAUGCUUCUCCAAAAAAUAACGAAGCUCUGUUACAAAAGAAAAACACAUCUGAAGGCGAUUACUGGUGAGGAUCUGAAAGAAAAUGAAAAUAAACGGGCAUGAGCUACACGGCUCAUUAAGUAAUUCUGCAUAAUCCUAUCGGAUCAACUAAAAGGCUAAACAUCUUUAAACAGGGUUUGAGAAGCUCACAUGUA
rnacentral:lncRNA from 1 species